rnacentral:rRNA from 1 species
UUGCACGCUGGCGGCAUGCUUUACCCAUGCCGGUCGAACGGUAACAGGCCUUCGGGUGCUGACGAGUGGCGACCGGGUGAGUAAUGCAUCGGAACGUACCCAGAGGUGGGGGAUAACGCAGCGAAAGCUGUGCUAAUACCGCAUGUGAUCUGAGGAUGAAAGCGGGGGACCGAGCAGCAAUGUUUGGCCUCGCGCCUUUGGAGCGGCCGAUGUCGGAUUAGCUAGUUGGUGGGGUAAAGGCCUACCAAGGCGACGAUCCGUAGCUGGUCUGAGAGGACGACCAGCCACACUGGGACUGAGACACGGCCCAGACUCCUACGGGAGGCAGCAGUGGGGAAUUUUGGACAAUGGGCGCAAGCCUGAUCCAGCAAUGCCGCGUGCGGGAAGAAGGCCUUCGGGUUGUAAACCGCUUUUGGCAGGAACGAAACGGUGUCCGCUAAUACCGGGCGCUAAUGACGGUACCUGCAGAAUAAGCACCGGCUAACUACGUG